UCCCCUCUAUCCCUACUCGAUUCCCUAUUCUUUCUCCUCUGCUUCCGAACUUCUUCUCCUCUCCUUCUCACACGAUCGGCGCAGAUGCCACCCCGUGCUCUAGAUCUCUCCCUUCCACUCCGAUCGACACCGACCACCUCGAUGAGCCAAUCGUCGCCAGUACAGUUCUCCUUAGCCGGCGAUGCCCUUGUAACCUCAAAGCUACAACAUCGCCUCUCAUCUUCCAUGCGACGCCGACCGUCCGACUCUCUUUUGAACUUGUUGACGCUGGUGCCACUCUGCUAGGUCGCCUCAUCUCCGCCUUCCCAUUCCUAGCCGCGGACAUCAAGCACUCGCCGAAAGUUGAGAACACGAGCUUCCUUUCUAGCCGUACCCUAGAUCCCUCCAGCUGGCCGCCGACGAUUCAACUCGAGUCGACAUUCUACAGAUUUAUAGCUACGCCCAUGUAAUGUUGGAUUCAUGCCACCACUGUGGACCGACGAUCCCUGAGGCGGUGAGGGCUGUUGGACAGAUUCACCAUCUCCAGAAGAGCUGAGAACUGCUGAUUUGGGUGAUCAACUGAUCUGACUAGAAGGUGAGCGUUGAUUGGGGUGCUGAUUUUGGGGCAUUGAUUGGUUGGACAGCGAUUCCACCUUGUUUCGCUUAGUAUUUCCAGCUUCAACCUCCUCCAACAACGGGUCAAGUGGCUGUGCUACGAAUUUAGGACUUUGGUUUGAGACGAGCAUCUUGAUGUGAGGGUUCUUUCAUAGGUGUAUUAUAUAAAGGCAAGUAUUUCUUCCUUGCUCUCUUUAAUUCUUUGAAUUUAGUGCAUGGUUGCUUUUACUUGAUGGAUUAGGUUACUUUACCUAAAUCUAUCUUUAUUGUUAUCCUAUAUUUAUGCUUGACCUUUGAGAUGAUCUAUUUAUUUUAUAUACAGUCUUAAGAUUUGAAUAUCUAUACUCUGUUGUUAUAUUCACAUGUAGAGUAUGUAUGGUAGGAUACAUUUUGUUGACUGACUUAACAUGCUGAUUAUGCAAAUGGUGUUAUGUGUAUACAUGUUUGGUAUGUGCCAUAAGAGUUAUCAUGUUGACCGUACAUUUAUAUGUUGUAUGUGUACACAUGUCCGGUGUUAUCUAUUGGAGGUUUCAUGUUGAUUGUAUAUAUGUUGUGCGUACAUGUGUCUGAUGUGUACUAUUGGAGGAUCAUGUCGAUAAUAUCUAUGUUAGUGAUUGUAUAUGUUUGGUGUGAUAUUGGAGGUAUUAUGUUGAUUAUACCUACAUUGUAUGUUACGUACGUAUAUGGUGUGUAUGUGUCUGGUGAUGCUACUUACUGUAUUUGAUAUUUAGUAGACACUUGUUGGAUCUACCCAUACCUAUAGAUAUAGGUGUUUGAUGGAUCAUGUACUAGAGGUAUUUAUAAUGGAUUGAGGUGUUGCAUUGAUGAUGAUUCUGUCGAUAUCGUGUCAGUAUCAUGAUUUUUUAUAUCAUGUGUAUCAUUACAUCAUAUGCACACUGACGACCAUUGCUCCCUUGUGGUAUGAGCUAGUUGACAAUCAUGUAUAUAUAUAUAUGCAUGCUAACGACUAUUGGUCACAUAUGGUAUGAGCUAGUUAUGCGAUCAUUACUCACUUUCGAUAUGAGCUAGUUAUUAGUCAUGUUAGCUGUCAUUCGGCCAGUGUGGGAGAGUGGUACCUUGGAGUGGAGCUAGUCCUGUUGUGCCACCCGGCCACUCAGCGGCUGGAGUAAUAUCCGACCUUAUGAGCAGUCAGAGACCCUAAUGCUAUGUAGUUAGAUAACUACUUAGUGAACUGUUCACCUCGACCGCUAUAUAAUGAUUGGAGGAUAGUACAGUUGUCACAGAUUCAAGUCUCUCGGCCAUACAGGGGUCGUGGUGUCUCGAGAGGUUGUGGGGGUGACCAUGGAGCAUGCAUGCGCAUUUGCAUAUGAUGCACGGUGCAUCUGUGUAGAUAUAUUUG